rnacentral:tRNA from 1 species
CAGGGCAUAGCUGAGUUAAUAAAGCAUCUCUCUUACACUGAGAAGCCACCCGUGUAAAUCGGGUUGCCCUGA